rnacentral:lncRNA from 1 species
CAGCAGCCCUCCUGGGCUGCACAGAUGUAGCUGUGUGUAUCAGCCAGCAGCCCUAAGGGAACAGAGGUAUCCUGCAGAAGGCAGAAUCUGCUGGGGGGGGUCUGCCUAUGUGAGGGGGCGAUGCCAAGACUGGCGUGGAAAAGCUCCAGCAGCAUCAGGUCCCAGAUGCCUUUCGGUUCUGCUGGGUCAGCUACUUUGCUCAGCGAGCUAGAAAGCAAUCUCUUCAUUAAUUGGGCAACUGAAGGUAUCUGAGCUUUGCUAAAAUCUCAACAAACCGGUAGAUAUUCUACAAAAGAAUCUACUUGGCAUGCUGAUUUGCAUUCUUCAAAGUCAAUGUAGUCAGUAUCCUGGACUGGCGAAGUCUUUUCCUGUUUCCAUGAUGGGACUCCUGGGGACAUUCCAUUUCUUUGAGGUUCAUUGUUUCGGCAGUCUGAUUGAGUGACACAAGUGUCUUUUAGAGUAUCUUCAUUUCUGGCAGGCAGGAUACAGGCCAAUAAUAUAAAAUAAAUCCAUCUACAAUUUUAAGAGUGUCUUUAUUUGUGUUGUUGUGUUCAUUGUUAUGCUGUCUCCAGAGGGGAAGAGAGUUUGUAGCACACACAGACCCCCAUUCCCUGCAGUCCGGAGGGUUUGUGACGUCUAAGGAUCUAAGGCUCCAUGUGGAAGACAGCACUGGAGCCCUACCCCUGCCCUCCACAGGCCUGCCUUUUGGGUUAGCCAUCCCUCUGACCAGUUAGGGAAACAGCUAGCAGCUUGGAUUAGCCAACAGCCUUGAUGCAGAUACAACUGAACUCAGGUUAUCUUGCCUGACCAUCACCAGGAAGAGGUGUCUGGAAACAG